rnacentral:rRNA from 1 species
GGCUCUGGGUUGAGUUCUUCGGGGCCACCUCCCACCCUUGUAUACUGUACCAAGUUGCUUCGGCGGGCCCGCCGUUCGCGCGGCCGCCGGGGGGGAACCCCUCCCCCCGGGCGAGCGCCCGCCGGAGACCCCAACGUGAACACUGUCUGAAGUUUUGUCGUCUGAGUUCGAUUGUAUCGCAAUCAGUUAAAACUUUCAACAAUGGAUCUCUUGGUUCCGGCAUCGAUGAAGAACGCAGCGAAAUGCGAUAAUUAAUGUGAAUUGCAGAAUUCAGUGAAUCAUCGAGUCUUUGAACGCACAUUGCACCCCCUGGUAUUCCGGGGGGUAUGCCUGUCCGAGCGUCAUUGCUGCCCUCAAGCCCGGCUUGUGUGUUGGGUCCUCGUCCCCCCCGGGGGACGGGCCCGAAAGGCAGCGGCGGCACCGCGUCCGGUCCUCGAGCGUAUGGGGCUUUGUCACACCGCUCUCGUAGGCCCGGCCGGCGCUGGCCGACGCUGAAAAGCAACCAUUAUUUCUCCAGGUUGACCUCGGAUCAGGUAGGGAUACCCGCUGAACUUAAGCAUAUCAAUAAGCGGAGGAA